CAGCCGCCGCGGGAAUACGAAGGGGGCUAGCGUUGCUCGGAAUGACUGGGCGUAAAGGGCGCGUAGGCGGUUUGCACAGUCGGGUGUGAAAUUCCUGGGCUUAACCUGGGGACUGCAUUCGAGACGUGUAGGCUUGAGUGGGGAAGAGGGUCGUGGAAUUCCCAGUGUAGAGGUGAAAUUCGUAGAUAUUGGGAAGAACACCGGUGGCGAAGGCGGCGACCUGGUCCUUUACCGACGCUGAGGCGCGAAAGCGUGGGGAGCAAACAGGAUUAGAUACCCCGGUAGUCCCUGUCUCUUAUAA
rnacentral:rRNA from 1 species